UGAGGAAUCUUCCACAAUGGGGGCAACCCUGAUGGAGCAACGCCGCGUGCAGGAUGAAGGCCUUCGGGUUGUAAACUGCUUUUAUAAGUGAGGAAUAUGACGGUAACUUAUGAAUAAGGAUCGGCUAACUACGUGCCAGCAGCCGCGGUCAUACGUAGGAUCCGAGCGUUAACCGGAGUGAUUGGGCGUAAAGAGUUGCGUAGGUGGUUUGUUAAGUAGAUAGUGAAAUCUGGCGGCUCAACCGUACAGGCUAAUAUCUAAACUGGCAAACUCGAGAAUGGUAGAGGUAACUGGAAUUUCUAGUGUAGGAGUGAAAUCCGUAGAUAUUAGAAGGAACACCAAAGGCGUAGGCAGGUUACUGGACCAUUUCUGACACUGAGGCACGAAAGCGUGGGGAGCGAACC
rnacentral:rRNA from 1 species